rnacentral:rRNA from 1 species
GGAUGAGCCCGCGGCCUAUCAGCUUGUUGGUGGGGUAACGGCCUACCAAGGCGACGACGGGUAGCUGGUCUGAGAGGACGACCAGCCACACUGGGACUGAGGCACGGCCCAGACUCCUACGGGAGGCAGCAGUGGGGAAUCUUGCGCAAUGGGCGAAAGCCUGACGCAGCGACACCGCGUGGGGGACGAAGGCCUUUCAGGUCGUAAACCCCUUUCGGCAGGGACGAAGCGAUCUCGUGACGGUACCUGCAGAAGAAGCCUCGGCUAACUACGUGCCAGCAGCCGCGGUAACACGUAGGAGGCGAGCGUUGUCCGGAAUCAUUGGGCGUAAAGAGCGCGCAGGCGGCUUGGCAAGUCGGGUGUGAAAUCCCGGGGCUCAACCCCGGGACUGCAUUCGAUACUGCCAGGCUAGAGGUAGGUAGGGGAGAUCGGAAUUCCUGGUGUAGCGGUGAAAUGCGCAGAUAUCAGGAGGAACACCGGUGGCGAAGGCGGAUCUCUGGGCCUUACCUGACGCUCAGGCGCGAAAGCUAGGGGAGCGAACAGGAUUAGAUACCCUGGUAGUCCUAGCCGUAAACGUUGGGUGCUAGGUGUGGGCGGAUAUCAACCCCGUCCGUGCCGAAGCUAACGCAUUAAGCACCCCGCCUGGGGAGUACGGCCGCAAGGCUAAAACUCAAAGGAAUUGACGGGGGCCCGCACAAGCGGCGGAGCAUGCGGCUUAAUUCGAUGCAACGCGAAGAACCUUAC